rnacentral:rRNA from 1 species
UCUUUAGAGGGUGUUGAUAGUUUGACUCAACUUUGUAUCAAACUUCCAAGAAAAGCUCGAACUACUGAUAAAUAGGAAUGACCUGUACCCGAAACCGACACAGGUAGGUAGGUAGAGAAUACCAAGGGGCGCGAGAUAACUCUCUCUAAGGAACUCGGCAAAAUGGCCCCGUAACUUCGGGAGAAGGGGUACCCUCUAUUUGAGGGUCGCAGUGACCAGGCCCAGGCGACUGUUUACCAAAAACACAGGUCUCCGCUAAGUCGUAAGACGAUAUAUGGGGGCUGACGCCUGCCCAGUGCCGGAAGGUGAAGGAAGUUGGUGCGAGCUAACGACCGAAGCCCCGGUGAACGGCGGCCGUAACAAUAACGGUCCUAAGGUAGCGAAAUUCCUUGUCGGGUAAGUUCCGACCCGCACGAAAGGCGUAACGAUCUGGGCACUGUCUCGGAGAGAGACUCGGUGAAAUAGACAUGUCUGUGAAGAUGCGGACUACCUGCACCUGGACAGAAAGACCCUAUGAAGCUUGACUGUAGCUUGGAAUUGGGUUUGGGCUCUUCUUGCGCAGCCUAGGUGGGAGGCGUUGAAAAUCUCUUUUCGGAGAGGUUGGAGCCAUCAGUGAGAGACCACUCUGGAGGAGCUAGAAUUCUAAUGGCGAUCCUUGAAUCAGGACGCUUGACAGUUUCAGGUGGGCAGUUUGACUGGGGCGGUCGCCUCAUAAAAGGUAACUGAGGCGUGCAAAGGUUCCCUCAGGCUGGACGGAAAUCAGCCGAAGAGUGUAAAGGCAGAAGGGAGCUUGACUGCAAGACCUACAAGUCGAGCAGGGGCGAAAGCCGGCCUUAGUGAUCCGACGGUACCGCGUGGAAGGGCCGUCGCUCAACGGAUAAAAGUUACUCUAAGGAUAACAGGCUGAUCUUCCCCAAGAGUUCACAUCGACGGGAAGGUUUGGCACCUCGAUGUCGGCUCAUCGCAACCUGGGGCGGUAGUACGUCCCAAGGGUUGGGCUGUUCGCCCAUGAAAGCGGUACGUGAGCUGGGUUCAGAACGUCGUGAGACAGUUCGGUCCAUAUCCGGUGUAGGCGUUAGAGUAUUGAGAGGAGUCUUCCAUAGUACGAGAGGACCUGGAAGAACGCACCAAUAGUAUACCAGUUCUCGUUCCAACGGGAAACGCUGGGUAGCCAAGUGCGGAGUGGAUAACUGCUGAAAGUAUCUAAGUAGGAAGCCCACCUCAAGAUGAGUACUCUCUUAAGGUCACGGCAAGACAAGCCGUUUAAUAGGUAUCAGGUGUAAGGCCAGUAAUGGUUUCAGCUGAGAUACACUAACAGACCGGUCGAUUUUGACAG